GUUGUGUGUGAGGGUCAUGGCUGCCUGUGCUAGGGUUAGUCAGUGGUUGUGUGUAAGGGUCAUGGCUGCCUGCGCUAGGCUGGUCGGUGGUUGUGUGUAAGGGUCAUGGCUGCCUGCGCUAGGCUGGUCGGUGGUUGUGUGUAAGGGUCAUGGCUGCCUGCGCUAGGCUGGUCGGUGGUUGUGUGUGAGAGUCAUGGCUGCCUGCGCUAGGGUGGUCGGUGGUUGUGUGUAAGGGUCAUGGCUGCCUGCGCUAGGCUGGUCGGUGGUUGUGUGUAAGAGUCAUGGCUGCCUGUGCUAGGCUGGUCGGUGGUUGUGUGUAAGGGUCAUGGCUGCCUGUGCUAGGGUGGUCGGUGGUUGUGUGUAAGGGUCAUGGCUGCCUGCGCUAGGGUGGUCGGUGGUUGUGUAUGAGAGUCAUGGCUGCCUGCGCUAGGCUGGUCGGUGGUUGUGUGUGAGAGUCAUGGCUGUCUGUGCUAGGGUAGUCAGUGGUUGUGUAUGAGAGAGGGGCCACGUAGCAUGUCAUCCAUCAUACUAGCGCGGCGACCGGCCCCCAGCUUUACCCCCAGCAUACGUGCUAUGCGUGGUUGUGUCGCCCGUGCGUCGGGAUGAGCCGGGAGAGGGCGCCACUAGUCUGUAAUUCCCCCUCGGACCGGUCGCCGGGUGUACGGGGACCGAGUCCAUCUCCCCCGGUCACCCCCCGGGUCCGG